AUACGUAGGUGACAAGCGUUAUCCGGAUUUAUUGGGUUUAAAGGGUGCGUAGGCGGAUGAUUAAGCGUGAGGUGAAAUGCCACUGCUCAACAGUGGAACUGCCUCGCGAACUGGUUGUCUUGAAUGCUCCUGCCGUGGGAGGAAUGUGUGGUGUAGCGGUGAAAUGCAUAGAGAUCACACAGAACACCGAUUGCGAAGGCAUCUCACGAAGGGGUGAUUGACGCUGAGGCACGAAAGCGUGGGGAUCAAACAGGAUUAGAUACCCUGGUAGUCCACGCAGUAAACGAUGAUAACUAACCGCUGGGUCGUAGUGAUUCAGUGGCCAAGCGAAAGCGAUAAGUUAUCCACCUGGGGAGUACGACCGCAAGGUUGAAACUCAAAGGAAUUGACGGGG
rnacentral:rRNA from 1 species